CGGCUCAGACUGCAUAACAGGUGAACUAAUUCCUGUACAGCUACCAUAGAAUGUUGCGCAUGCAUGAGUGAACGAAUCACUCCCCGGAACGACUCGUUCUUCUCGAGUCAUAUUAAAGAUUCGUUCAAAAUGAACGAAUCGUUCAAGAACGACAGAUCACUAUGUCGCUUUAAGAAAUGCACUGUUAAGUGCGGUUGCCAAUAAAACGAAAGAAGAAGAAAGAAGAAGAAGAAGAAGUCGCUUUAAGAACAUUUCCCUCGCCUGGCUGGAGUCUUUCAGUUUAGGCGAUUGAUGCAGGCGUGCUCUAACAGAACCUCGCACGGUUUUCAACGCGGAGUCUGUUUUGGAGUUAAUAUUUCUCAGCCCGCUAAAAAUGCUUGCGUCAGACUGGCUGGUGUAACGUACCUUGGCCUGCAGGAUGGAGCUGGCUAGGAUGUCUACAGCUAACUUAAUAAAGGAGUUAAUACAAUUUGUUAUCGAAGUCACUGAAGAGGAGAGGAAAAAAUUUGAUGACAAUGACGUGGAUGGAGAGACUGUUGACAUCGGAAUGACUGAGUCUAUGAUUUCAUUCCUCUUU